rnacentral:rRNA from 1 species
AGCGAACGCUGGCGGCAGGCUUAACACAUGCAAGUCGAGCGGGCACUUCGGUGUCAGCGGCAGACGGGUGAGUAACACGUGGGAACGUACCCUUUGGUUCGGAAUAACGCUGGGAAACUAGCGCUAAUACCGGAUACGCCCUUUUGGGGAAAGGCGUGCUGCCGAAGGAUCGGCCCGCGUCUGAUUAGCUAGUUGGUGGGGUAAUGGCCUACCAAGGCGACGAUCAGUAGCUGGUCUGAGAGGAUGAUCAGCCACACUGGGACUGAGACACGGCCCAGACUCCUACGGGAGGCAGCAGUGGGGAAUAUUGGACAAUGGGCGCAGGCCUGAUCCAGCCAUGCCGCGUGAGUGAUGAAGGCCUUAGGGUUGUAAAGCUCUUUUGGCCGGGACGAGAAUGACGGUACCGGAAGAAUAAGCCCCGGCUAACUUCGUG